rnacentral:rRNA from 1 species
UACGUAGGCAGCAAGCGUUGUUCGGAAUUACUGGGCGUAAAGAGUGUGUAGGCGGUGCUCUAAGUUUGGUGUGAAAUCUCCCGCUCAACUGGGAGGGUGCGCCGAAAACUGGAAUGCUUGAACAUGGGAGAGGAAAGCGGAAUUCCUGGUGUAGCGUGAAAUGCGUAGAUAUCAGGAGGAACACCUGCGGUGUAGACGGCUUUCUGGACCAUUGUUGACGCUGAGACACGAAAGCGUGGGUAGCAAACAGG